UACGUAGGGGGCUAGCGUUGUCCGGAAUCAUUGGGCGUAAAGAGCGCGUAGGCGGCCAGAUAAGUCCGGUGUGAAAGUCAAAGGCUCAACCUUUGAAUGCCGCUGGAAACUGUCUGGCUAGAGUCCGGAAGAGGCGAGUGGAAUUCCUGGUGUAGCGGUGGAAUGCGCAGAUAUCAGGAGGAACACCAAUAGCGAAGGCAGCUCGCUGGGACGGUACUGACGCUGAGGUGCGAAAGCGUGGGGAGCAAACAGG
rnacentral:rRNA from 1 species